rnacentral:tRNA from 1 species
GGGAAUGUGGCUUAGUGGUAGAGUGCUUGCCUAGCAUGCGUGAGGCCCUGGGUUCAAUUCCUCAGUACCA